rnacentral:lncRNA from 1 species
UAUAUAAUACAAAAUAAAUUCGGAUUCGGGUCGGGUUUGGAUUCGAGUCGGAUGCAAUAAAAAUCUAUAUCCGAAUCUAUAUCCAUCGAGUUUUUAUUUUUGAUAUCCAUAUCCGAAUCCAUAUUCAUUUAGCAUCAUAUAUAUCCGUUUCAUUUGGGUUCGGAUUCGGAUAAAAUUUCGGGUAUUCAUACCUAUUGACAUCCCUAGUCUCAAUUGAGUUCCUAACCUUCAAAUUUUUGCUUUUCAGAUUCUUAACUUCAUUUCAUUAUUU